AAAGUUGGCGUCGCGAUGGCCACAGCGCGGCUACUGCUCCGGAGCGCCUCCCGACCCGACCACCCCGGCCCGUGUCCAGCCCCGAGCCGCCAUGGCCGCCGCCAACGACGCCGGCCAGUUCCAGAAAUUCCAGAUCCAGCGCGAGAACACGACCUUCGACGCCUAUGUUGUCGGCAAGCAGAAUGCCCCUGGAGUUGUAGUGUUGCAAGAGUGGUGGGGGGUCAACAAUGAUAUCAAGAAUCACGCCAUCCACGCCUCCCAAAUCGGCGGUGGAUACAGAGCACUUAUUCCAGAUUUGUACCGUGGGAAGGUCGCUUUGGAUGCUGCCGAGGCUCGGCAUCUGGUGGAAGGGCUAGACUGGCAGGGCGCGAUCAAGGACAUUCAGGCUUCAGUUAAAUGGCUCAAGCAAAAUGGAUCAUCUAAGGUUGGCGUUACUGGUUACUGCAUGGGGGGUGCUCUGGCAAUUGCGAGUGGAGUUUUGGUCCGAGAGGUCGAUUGUGUUGUUGCUUUCUACGGGACGCCAUCGUCAGAGCUUGCUGAUCCUUCCAAGGCUCUCGCUCCAAUCCAGGCUCAUUUUGCGGAGCUUGACACUUAUGUCGGGUUUGCUGAUGUGACCGCGGCCAAGUCGUUGGAGGAGAAGCUCAAGUCUUGUGGGGUGCCACAUGAAGUGCACAUAUACCCUGGAUGCUCUCAUGCCUUCAUGAACGCAUCACCUGAGGCUCUCGAGAAUCAGGGCGCCAUUGACCUGGCAUGGUCCCGCUUCGCUACUUGGAUGGGUCGUUUCCUGUGAUAUAUAUAUCUGAGCCGUAUUACCACACAGUCUGAAUCUGAUUGUGUACAUGGACUCGAGGCACGACUCACCAGAAUAAGAUGUUCAGUACGUACGUACGAUACAACAUGCAGUCAUCCUCCAGUUCAGAGAAGUUUGCUUGUGUUAUGCUAUGCGAACUCGAUCGUCAUCGUUACGAUUUUGUGGAUGCUGAGCUAACUCGGUGUGAAUUUGUCCUGUUUAUUCUUGUGAUUGUAGGCUACAUGUUUUUGGAUGGUUCUGAGAGUUUCUCGGCCUUCAGUUUUCCUUGGAAAGCAUUUUGGAUCGUG